rnacentral:tRNA from 1 species
GUGAGAGUAGCUCAGUUGGCAGAGCACCAGGUUGUGGCCCUGGUGGCCGUGGGUUCAAGUCCCAUCUCUCACCCCA